AAACACCGAGCCCCCCCCCGGUCUCAACUGAUGUCUUCCCAACACCAAUUUAAUGUUCUGUCCCUAAAUGCCCGAGGCCUGAACACUCCGCAAAAACGCAGGCUUGCCUUCUCCCAGCUCCGCGCCUUGCACGCUUCAGUAGCCUGCAUACAGGAGACACACUUCUCGGCAAUAAACCCCCCAAAAUUCCUCUCAGCCAGGUACCCCGUCUCCUACCAUGCUUUAGCGCCCAAUAAAACCAG